rnacentral:rRNA from 1 species
UACGGGGGGGGAAAGCGUUGUUCGGAAUUACUGGGCGUAAAGGGCUCGUAGGUGGCCAACUAAGUCAGACGUGAAAUCCCCAGGCUCAACUUGGGAACUGCGUCUGAUACUGGAUGGCUUGAAUUCGGGAGAGGGAUGCAGAAUUCCAGGUGUAGCGGUGAAAUGCGUAGAUAUCUGGAGGAAUACCGGUGGCGAAGGCGGCAUCCUGGACCGAGAUUGACACUGAUGAGCGAAAGCUAGGGGAGCAAACGGG